ACUUAUUUUUUGAAGAUUAAAUUCAAUGCUGUAUUUUGUUUUCAUCUUGAGAUAUUCAUUUUCAGCUCGUGGAAAUUUAAACUUGUGACUUCUCAAUGUUAGUAGUCUAAAACAUGGCGAUACCGAUUAAUAAACAAGUCUUUGCCAUCUUUUCUGGUUCGACGGUUACGAUGGUUAGCCGAGGUUUGACAAAAGCCAAAAUAAACAUUGUCAGCUAACCAUUUACAAUUCCAUAGUUCAUCCACCUUCAUUUUAUUUCAUGACGUGUUUUCUUAUUCCUUUAAUAUCUGUUUGUUAAACAGUACAUUUCGCAUACAAAGUAAUUGUAUAAGAGACAAAAUUAUAUUUCAAAAAUUUUGAGCGAGAGGUUCACUGGGUGAACUAUAAAAUGUUAGACGCUUGAAUCGUACCCAUCAAAGAGUGCAUUUCACUUUUACUUAUUCAAUUAAACGCAAAAACAAUGAAAAAUGAAGCAUUCUUUGAUGAGGCCAUCGGAUGCCAUAUUUGCCAUGGAUUUUAAUAGAUCAACACACAGAGGAUGGAUCCGGUUACUAUCAAUAUUAACCAAAUUUAAACACAUUGCUAAGACUCUCUGAUGGAUUUGACAUAAUUUUAGUUGUUUUCAUCUUCUCUCUCUCUUCAAAAGUCUCACUCUUCCUUUUAGUUGCUUUAAUCGUUUUGUCUUCCUUCUUAUUGGCGUUUCUCUCAUCAUCGCCAUCAUUUUUCUUCAUUAUUUCUUCUCUUCUUUUUACAUUCAUUUCUUCCUUUCUUUUUUCUCUCUCAUUCUCUUACUUAUUGUACCACCAAAACGGAUUGUCUUGACUUUUUUGUUCUGUUGAACAGUUUUCAUGUUUUAUUCUGCCUCUUUUAGUGUUUCCCUUAUCAUUACUACACAACAUUAAGGAACCAUUUUGCCAGUUUAUAUCAUUUCUCGUGAACGUGAAAAUCUGAUGGCUAUGAUGACGAUAAUAAUAAUGAUAAUGAUGAUAGAAGCUGAUUAUAAAGUACGUGCCAUGAUGAUUGUCAGCACAUCCUUGAUUACUACUGAUGGAAGAUGAAUGUCUCAUGAACAUGAAAACAACUGAAAGAAACGGAAUAAUAGAGGCAAAAGUGGAUUAUAUGUUGUUCAUUUUUACAAGGCUAUCUACCAGAAAUAGUUGAUAAUAGGCAUGUAAAGGAGAGAUUGCAGGACAAAGAAUGUCAAGAUUUGACUGAGGAUUCAAGGUAGACCUGAAUAUUUCCUCAUUUCAUUGACCACAAUCAAAAUCUCAGAAUCGUUCAUCUCAUGUAAUACUUACAACAAGCGUGGAGAUAGUGACCCAUUGAGACACAUAAAAGAUGAACCCAAUAAUUCUUAAGCUAUACCCAAGGUUUAACCACGCACCUCAACAUUAUGACCAGAAAACCAGGAAAAUGGAUAAAUCAAUUAUUGAGAUUGGACGUUAUAACCAGAAACAAUUGACAAUGCUCAGAUUGUAGGAAAAUGGCGUUGAUUAGUCAACUAAAGCUGGCUCUCGAUCCUUGUUUUCCCUGAUUCAUGAUUUCCACCUGUAAGACUGGUCAUUUAUUAUCAACAUUUCAAGCCAAUAUUUUAUUCGAUUUGGUUCCCUGCAAUUUUCUUUGAUAAACCAACAACUCUAAAUUGAUUAGUCUCUGCAAUUGUCAAUCAAAUUGUGUUAUUAAAUGUUUCCACACUUCCCUGUUAA